GCUGUGAUGGUGUAAUGGUUAACACAUCUGUCUUCUAAACAUGGAGACCUGGGUUCAAGUCCCAGUCAAGGCA